UUGAGAUUUGCCUCUCCCAGAGGGGAACAAACCCUGUGCAGCACCCCGAGGGCACAGGAGCUGCUUCAGCCGGACACCAGAGGUCAAAGAGAUGUUCAGAGGGCUCAGAAGAAUGGGAUCCCUUCCACAGGGCCAUAAGAAACCCCUCGUCCCCUGGCAGCUUCGCACCGGGCAAAGCUCGCUCCGCACUGGGAUUGCUGCAGGGCACUUCCUGCGAGCCAUUAAAGCGAGCUGGGCAGGAAAGUAAGUGAGAUGGAGUUCAAGUAUUCGAAUAGCAUUGUCCUGCGUCAGACAUCUCACUGCUGCCUGCUCAGAGCAUCCAGCAGGGGAAGGUGCUUUCGUGUUGACAGUUGCCAUCAAGAGCAAAGCCCUUUGAUAAUUUGCUGAGCUAUCACAACACCCAUCAACAAGAGCUCCAGGAAACCCUGAGAUUCUUGGAAAUGCAAACUGGAAAACUCCUCUUUAGCUUUUACACCAGCGUUACGUAGCCCUUAAAAUCAUUUUUUUUCCCUCUUUGAGCACCACUUUAUCCAAUCCAUCAGUUCAAUACAUCCCCAACGCCCGUUUCUUGCUUUACUGCAGUGUCAGGCAUCAGUAUCAGGACAGCAGCAGAUGAAGUUUGCUGCUGCACCAGCCCUGGCAAUCUCCUCUGCACAGGGUGCAACUGAGGCCACCCCAAACGCUGCCGUGCACCCGUAUCCUGGUGGCUCCUUCAGGAGGUGAUUUCUUUAUCGCUGCAUCUGUGACCCCUGCGUUCCAAGCAGACCUCAGCCCGGUCAGCAGUGAAGGUGCUCUGACUCGAAGGUCACAAGUUACUGAGCCGAGCUGGGCAAGGAAUUCCAGGAGAGCAGAUUGGGAUUGUUUUAAUUAAAGGAAAGAGGCAGGGGAAGGGGGGCAAAGAAACACUUGAGCAGUCAAACCCUGUUUUCCCCUCGUGAAGAUGACUGGUUUGAGGUAGGAUUAAGAAGGCUGAAAUUGUCUUUUUAAAGGAAUGUAAAUAUAUGGCAGUUGGAGUGAUUGACAAAUAAAGGGCGCUCUCCUUUAAUUUAAA